rnacentral:tRNA from 3 species
GUCGUUCUCAAAAUCGGUGGAGCUGCAUGACAAAGUCAUCGGGCAUUAUCUGAACAUAAAACACUAUCAAUAAGUUGGAGUCAUUACCUGGAAAGUGUGUAUACGGCAACGUAUCGGGGGUUCGAAUCCCCCCCUCACCGCCA